rnacentral:rRNA from 1 species
UUCUUUAUCACCGAGUGCUUGCACUCACCGAUAAAGAGUUGAGUGGCGAACGGGUGAGUAACACGUGGGCAACCUGCCCAAAAGAGGGGGAUAACACUUGGAAACAGGUGCUAAUACCGCAUAACCAUAGUUACCGCAUGGUAACUAUGUAAAAGGUGGCUAUACUACCGCUUUUGGAUGGGCCCGCGGCGCAUUAGCUAGUUGGUAGGGUAAAGGCUUACCAAGGCAAUGAUGCGUAGCCGAAUUGAGAGGUUGAUCGGCCACAUUGGGACUGAGACACGGCCCAAACUCCUACGGGAGGCAGCAGUAGGGAAUCUUCCACAAUGGGCGAAAGCCUGAUGGAGCAACGCCGCGUGGGUGAAGAAGGUCUUCGGAUCGUAAAACCCUGUUGUUAGAGAAGAAAGUGCGUGAGAGUAACUGUUCACGUUUCGACGGUAUCUAACCAGAAAGCCACGGCUAACUACGUGCCAGCAGCCGCGGUAAUACGUAGGUGGCAAGCGUUAUCCGGAUUUAUUGGGCGUAAAGGGAACGCAGGCGGUCUUUUAAGUCUGAUGUGAAAGCCUUCGGCUUAACCGGAGUAGUGCAUUGGAAACUGGGAGACUUGAGUGCAGAAGAGGAGAGUGGAACUCCAUGUGUAGCGGUGAAAUGCGUAGAUAUAUGGAAGAACACCAGUGGCGAAAGCGGCUCUCUGGUCUGUAACUGACGCU